rnacentral:rRNA from 1 species
UGGGGAAGUUUUCCGUCAAUGGGCGAAAGCCUGACGGAGCAAUGCCGCGUGGAGGUGGAAGGCCUACGGGUCGUCAACUUCUUUUCUCGGAGAAGAAACAAUGACGGUAUCUGAGGAAUAAGCAUCGGCUAACUCUGUGCCAGUAGC